GUGCUCGCUUUGGCAGCACAUAUACUAAAGUUGGAAAACGAUACAGAGAAGAUUAGCAUGGCCCCUGCGCAAGGAUGACACGCAAAUUUGUGAAGAGUUCUGUAUUUUU